AGGAAAAGAAACUAACAAGGAUUCCCCUAGUAACUGCGAGUGAAGCGGGAAAAGCUCAAAUUUAAAAUCUGGCGGUCUUUGGCCGUCCGAGUUGUAAUCUAGAGAAGUAAUGCCCGUGCUGGACCGUGUAUAAGUCUCCUGGGAUGGGGCGUCAUAGAGGGUGAGAAUCCCGUCUUUGACACGGACUACCAGUGCAUUGUGGUAUGCUCUCAAAGAGUCGAGUUGUUUGGGAAUGCAGCUCAAAAUGGGUGGUAAAUUCCAUCUAAAGCUAAAUAUUGGCGAGAGACCGAUAGCGAACAAGUACCGUGAGGGAAAGAUGAAAAGAACUUUGGAAAGAGAGUUAAACAGUACGUGAAAUUGCUGAAAGGGAAACGCUUGAAGUCAGUCGCGUUGGCCGGGAAUCAGCCUUGCUUUUGCAUGGUGUUCUUUCUGGUUGACNNGGGUCAGCAUCAAUUUUGACUGCUGGAAAAGGGCCUGGGGAAUGUUGCAGCUUCCGCUGUGUUAUAGCCCCUGGUCGCAUACAGUGGUUGGGAUUGAAGAACUCCACACGCCCCAAGGCCGGGUUUCCACCACGUUCGUGCUUAGGAUGCUGGCAUAAUGGCUUUAAGCGACCCGUCUUGAAACACGGACCAAGGAGUCUAACAUGCCUGCGAGUAUUUGGGUGGAAAACCCGAAUGCGCAAUGAAAGUGAAAGUUGAGAUCCCUGUCGUGGGGAGCAUCGACGCCCGGACCAGAACUUUUGGGACGGAUCCNCGGUNGAGCAUGUAUGUUGGGACCCGAAAGAUGGUGAACUAUGCCUGAAUAGGGUGAAGCCAGAGGAAACUCUGGUGGAGGCUCGUAGCGAUUCUGANGUGCAAAUCGAUN
rnacentral:rRNA from 1 species